rnacentral:ncRNA from 3 species
CUACGUCCCUGCCCUUUGUACACACC